UAAUACGUAGGCAGCAAGCGUUGUUCGGAGUUACUGGGCGUAAAGGGUGUGUAGGCGGUUCUUUAAGUUUGCUGUGAAAUCUCCCGGCUUAACCGGGAGGGUGCGGUGAAUACUGAGGGACUAGAGUACGGGAGAGGAAAGUGGAAUUCCUGGUGUAGCGGUGAAAUGCGUAGAUAUCAGGAGGAACACCGGUGGUGUAGACGGCUUUCUGGACCGUAACUGACGCUGAGACACGAAAGCGUGGGUAGCAAACAGGAUUAGAUACCCUGGUAGUCCACGCCCUAAACGAUGCAUAUUUGGUGUGGGCAGUUCAUUCUGUCCGUGCCGGAGCUAACGCGUUAAAUAUGCCGCCUGGGGAGUACAGUCGCAAGGCUGAAACUCAAAGGAAUUGACGGGGGCCCGCACAAGCGGUGGAGCAUGUGGUUCAAUUCGACGCAACGCGAAGAACCUUACCUGGGCUCGAACGGCUUCUCAACGCCCGGUGGAAACACCGGUACCCCGCAAGGGGGUGGAGUCGAGGUGCUGCAUGGCUGUCGUCAGCUCGUGUCGUGAGAUGUUGGGUUAAGUCCCGCAACGAGCGCAACCCCUGUCCUGUGUUGCCAUCAUUCAGUUGGGAACUCGCAGGAGACCGCCAGCGAUAAGCUGGAGGAAGGUGGGGAUGACGUCAAGUCCUCAUGGCCUUUAUGUCCAGGGCUACACACGUGCUACAAUGGACGGUACAGACCGCCGCAAACCCGCGAGGGGGAGCCAAUCGGAAAAAACCGUUCUCAGUUCGGAUUGCAGGCUGCAACUCGCCUGCAUGAAGCUGGAAUCGCUAGUAAUGGCAGAUCAGCACGCUGCCGUGAAUACGUUCCCGGGCCUUGUACACACCGCCCGUCACAUCACGAAAGUGGAUUGUACUAGAAGUCUGCAGGCUGACCCGCAAGGGGGGCAGCGGCCCAAGGUAUGAUCCAUGAUUGGGGUG
rnacentral:rRNA from 1 species